rnacentral:rRNA from 1 species
ACGCUGGCGGAAUGCUUUACACAUGCAAGUCGAACGGCAGCACGGAGAGCUUGCUCUCUGGUGGCGAGUGGCGAACGGGUGAGUAAUAUAUCGGAACGUGUCCAAUAAUGGGGGAUAACGAGUCGAAAGAUUCGCUAAUACCGCAUACGCCCUACGGGGGAAAGCAGGGGAUCGUAAGACCUUGCGUUAAUGGAGCGGCCGAUAUCUGAUUAGCUAGUUGGUGAGGUAAAGGCUCACCAAGGCGACGAUCAGUAGCUGGUUUGAGAGAACGACCAGCCACACUGGAACUGAGACACGGUCCAGACUCCUACGGGAGGCAGCAGUGGGGAAUUUUGGACAAUGGGGGCAACCCUGAUCCAGCCAUUCCGCGUGAGUGAAGAAGGCCUUCGGGUUGUAAAGCUCUUUCGCAAGGGAAGAAAACUUAUGAUCGAAUAAAUCAUGAGGUUGACGGUACCUUGAUAAGAAGCACCGGCUAACUACGUGCCAGCAGCCGCGGUAAUACGUAGGGUGCGAGCGUUAAUCGGAAUUACUGGGCGUAAAGCGUGCGCAGGCGGUUUUGUAAGUCGGAUGUGAAAUCCCCGGGCUCAACCUGGGAACUGCGUUCGAAACUGCAAGGCUAGAGUGUGUCAGAGGGGGGUAGAAUUCCACGUGUAGCAGUGAAAUGCGUAGAGAUGUGGAGGAAUACCAAUGGCGAAGGCAGCCCCCUGGGAUAACACUGACGCUCAUGCACGAAAGCGUGGGGAGCAAACAGGAUUAGAUACCCUGGUAGUCCGCGCCGUAAACGAUGGGCACUAGCUGUGAGAGCCUUCCACGGUUCUCGCGACGCAGCAAACGCAUUAAGUGCCCCGCCUGGGGAGUACGAUCGCAAGAUUAAAACUCAAAGGAAUUGACGGGGCCCCGCACAAGCAGCGGAGCAUGCGGCUUAAUUCGACGCAACGCGAAGAACCUUACCAAGGCUUGACAUAUAGCGAAAAGUGGCAGAGAUGUCAUGUCCGCAAGGGCGCUAUACAGGUGGUGCAUGGUUGUCGUCAGCUCGUGUCGUGAGAUGUUGGGUUAAGUCCCGCAACGAGCGCAACCCUCGUUCUGUGUUACCAGCAUUUAGUUGGGGACUCACAGGAGACUGCCGGGGUCAACUCGGAGGAAGGUGGGGAUGACGUCAAAUCAUCAUGCCCCUUAUGUCUUGGGCUGCACGCAUGCUACAAUGGCCGGUACAAAGUGCUGCGAAAUCGUAAGAUUUAGCGAAUCACAUAAAGCCGGUCUCAGUUCGGAUUGAGGUCUGCAACUCGACCUCAUGAAGUCGGAGUUGCUAGUAAUCGUAGAUCAGCACGCCGGGGUGAAUACGUUCCCGGGCCUUGUACACACCGCCCGUCACACCACGAAAGUCGGCAACACCCGAAGCCGGUGGCCCAACCGAAAGGAAGGAGCCGUCGAAGGUGGGGUCGGUGAUUGGGGUGAAGUCAUAACAAGGUAGCCGUA